GGUUGCGUAGUGUAAUGGUUAUCACAUUGGAUUCUGAUUCCACCUCGAAUAUUUCCAGUAAUCUGAGUUCGAUUCUCAGCGCGACCU